UCGAGCUGGCGGGUGGGCCACGGGGAGCUCCCGAGGAAGCUCCUCCCUCCACCGGGGGAGCGCGGCGCCGCGAGGCGCGGCGGGAGACCGCCGGCAACGGAAAAGAAACGACACCCCCCGGCGAGGCGGUGACCGUGAAGGGGUGCGCGGAACCCCGGAGGAGGCGCCGGGGAGGAUGAAACGGCCGCCCCGCGCGGAGCAAGGCCGAACGGGGCCGAUGAGUCCCCCGGCGAGGCCCGGGUGGGCCUCUCAGCCCAAUCCCACCGGAACAGAAGGAGGGCUACGUCCAGCACGA
rnacentral:RNase_P_RNA from 1 species